GAGAAGGGCUUCACGACAGACCCAGAGCAGGCUGUGAUCCAAGGUAAUAAAAAUUUGGUUUCACUCCACCUUUCUAAGCUUGGAAGCUUUUUGAGGGGCCUCGUAUCACUUAGAAAUAACCAAGGCAGCAUUUCGAGGGUCACUUCUGUUCUCUGUACUGUUUUUUUCCCUGAAUUCCCAUGGGCCUGCAUCCUACCACCCUGGCGUUCUUGGCUCUCAGUCCACAGCUUCUGCAUUUCCUUCCCUGCUUCUGACCUAGUAAAUGAGGGAACAGGCUGCAGUCUCCUUGUGGGAGCUGCUGAGACUCCCUCAUCGGGGGGAAGGGGGGUGUGUGAAGUCUGCUCCAUAGGCUGUCUGUACGGAGCUGUGGGGAGGGUGUCCUAAGCUGUAGAAACUGAAAACCCAGGAAACCAAAUGAGCUUGCUGUGGAUUGGGUUUGGGAAUGCAAACAGGAUAGAUUGGAACGCUGCAGGGUCAGCAGUAAAAUGAGAGGCACCUGUGGUUUUUCCCAGGAGAGGUGGGAGAAUGAAAGCGUUUGAUGCUUAAAGAUGAUGCUUGCAGAUGUUAGGUUUUCUCUCCAAUUUUUCCUGACUCCUUGAAUUCACCAGUAGAUUUUUGUACUCAAAUA
rnacentral:lncRNA from 1 species